AAUAUCUGUUUACAUAGGCUUUCCCGAAAAAAAAAGAUCUGAGUUAUUGUAAUAUAUUAGUAUUUAAAUAUUUAAUGUUGCACUAUUAAAUAAAAUACUAACUCAGGGGUGAAAUACUUCUCAAUUUUUUGGAUAUCUGGAAUAUACUGAAAUGAAUUUAGUUCACAAAUGAAUCAAUAAGUUAUAAGAUUUAUUGAGAAUAGUCUAUUAGAUAAUUUAGUAGAAAAUAAUGAAGAAAUAUCUUCCUAUUUAAUUUUUAUAAUAGGAUUAAUGUUUACUUAUAGCUAAUUAAGGAUAGGUAUAUAUUAUAUAAGAUUUAGAUAAUAAAAUUUAUAAUGUUAAAAUUAGUAUAUAUGUAUUUAUAUAAAUUUAUAAAAGGAACUCGGCAAAUAAUAGUUUCAACUAGUUUAUCAAAAACAUAGCUUGUAGUUAAUUAUUAUAAGUGAAAUCUGCCCAGUGAAAUGUUUUAACGGCCGCAGUACUUUGACUGUGCUAAGGUAGCAUAAUAAAUUGACUUUUAAUUGAAGUCGGGUAUGAAUGGAUCCAUGGAGCUAACCUGUCUCUUAAUAAAUAUAAUUUAAUUUACUUAAAAAGUGCAAAUUCUUUUAUUUUUUUAUGUAAGACGAGAAGACCCUAAGAAUUAUUAUAAGUGAUAACUUUAUUUAUAUUUAUGUUUGUUGGGGCAACAAAGUUGGAUAACCAACUUUAAUAAUAUUUCUUAAUAUAUAUAUUGUAAUAAAAAAGUUUAAUUACCUUAGGGAUAACAGCAUAAUUAUUAUAUAGAUUGUGACCUCGAUGUUGGACUAAGGACUUUAAUAAAUAGCCUUUAUUAUAGCUAGUUCUGUUCGAACUAUAGUACCUUA
rnacentral:rRNA from 2 species